ACGGGUGAGUAAUGCCUAGGAAUCUGCCUGGUAGUGGGGGAUAACGUUCGGAAACGGACGCUGAUACCGCAUACGUCCUACGGGAGAAAGCAGGGGACCUUCGGGCCUUGCGCUAUCAGAUGAGCCUAGGUCGGAUUACCUAGUUGGUGAGGUAAUGGCUCACCAAGGCGACCAUCCGUAACUGGUCUGAGAGGAUGAUCAGUCACACUGGAACUGAGACACGGUCCAUACUCCUACGGGAGGCAGCAAUGGGGAAUAUUGGACAAUGGGCGAAAGCCUGAUCCAGCCAUGCCGCGUGUGUGAAGAAGGUCUUCGGAUUGUAGAGCAUUUACGUUGUGAGGAAGGGCAGUUACCUAAUACGUGAUUGUUUUGACGUUACCGACAGAAUAAGCACCGGCUAACUCUGUGCCAGCAGCCGCGGUAAUACAGAGGGUGCAAGCGUUAAUCGGAAUUACUGGGCGUAAAGCGCGCGUAGGUGGUUUGUUAAGUUGGAUGUGAAAUCCCCGGGCUCAACCUGGGAACUGCAUUCAAAACUGACUGACUAGAGUAUGGUAGAGGGUGGUGGAAUUUCCUGUGUAGC
rnacentral:rRNA from 1 species